CCCAGCCAACUCCUCAGACUAAGUUAAGUGGGAAGUGUCUACUUUCUAGAAGCCCUGAGUCUUCCUGUCCUCCCACCAGUCCAGGCCUUGUGGAGUUGCCAAAGACAGCACUAAACUGUGCCGGUCUCUACAACCUCCCUUCCCUGGGGGUGCGUAUGUUAGGGUACUUCACAAAUAGUGAGCCUGCGUUCCCCCCUGCCCCCAAGGUGGCAUCUUCCCAACACUGUCCCUCUGUUCUGCCUGGUGUCCACAUGGAAACGCUCAUCUGCUUGCAAUUGACUUUGUUCUGCAGGAGAGAGGCCUCAGAAAGCAAUGACCUGUGUUCCGUUCCGACCACCACCCGAUGGUUUUCAGGUCUCUGCAGAGGGACGCAAAGUCAAAUUCCAGCGGGACCACAGUCUUCAGCAAGCAUCCCUGUGUUUUCCAGGGUCUAGCAAAUCCAUUCUCAUCAUUCCUAUCGUUUAAAAGAACAGAUGGCUGAAGCCUUCUCCAGGCCAAGGCUGUGUCUCUGUAUUGCCAAACAUGUUGAUGAGCGCUGUAACUCAGCCCAGAAUCACUGUGAAAACAAAUGUGAAAUACCUGGACAUCGCCAGACGGAUCCAGGCAUUUCCCAGCUUCCACUUCAGGUCACAGCUGCAUGGGUGACUCCUGACCCAGUGACUCUUAGCGGUGGCAUGCCAGAUCACACAGGGAUCAGGACAGGCCUGAGAGGGCAGUGCUGAUUUCAGAUGAAGCUCCCAAUACGGAGGGGUGCGGCUGGAGCCUGAGGUCUCAGGCGCAGGAAUGAGGCUGCUCAUGAGCCAGGUAGAUGGCUGAGCAUUGCCCACGAGGACUAGGAGGAGGCUGCAGCAUGGCCCACAUGAACUGCUGCCAUCUCGAAUGGAAACGGCAGCCAGUUCGGGUGCUGUGGAUUGGAAGCGCUGUGAAGGCACAGGGGAUCUUCCCUACUCUGAUCUGAGAAUCACAACUGGGAAGAUGUCUAUCUUCCCUAGCAGCUGAGCCUCUUUAGAAAAUGAAAAGGAGGGAAGAAAACAUUUCCAUUUCCAAGAACACCAUAGCAGCUUCCCUUGGAGGAGCGCUGCAUGCUACAUCUAGAGGACUUGUCAGCAUGUGACUUUUCCAGCCCGGAAUAUGAGCUUUCUGCGAGGAGAGUCUGUGUCAUCUCGUUUCAUGUGCUUGGCAUAUAGUAAUUACCGAGAAAGACUUAUUUAUUGGGCAAAAAUUUCCAAGUGUCUAUUUCUAAUAUUUUCCCACAGAACUCAGCGGCAUUAGAGAGAAAGAGUAUCCUUCCUCCCAGAAUGACUGUAUUAAGAAGGGCAGUUAUAAUAAAGUGUAAAUGUGUA